UUCGAGUAAUCAUAUUAAAACAAACGCAAUUAUCAAUUUAUUAAAACAACACUUUAUUAUUGGUCCGAGUCGUCUUUCUGUUGGGUCCGAAUAGUCUUUUUGUAUGGUCCGAGUAGUCUAUUUGUUUGGGCUGAGUGGUCUAUCAGUUGGUCCGACUGGUCUUGAACCGAGUGGUCUUUGGUCCGAGUGGUCAUGGAUUCUUGUCGUAAUUGUACUUGAAUUUCCUAUGCUGUCACCCCUAAUACGAAAUGAUAUCUUCCGCAGAGUGACGUAACCAUCUUCCAUAUUGGUAUUUUUCUCUGGGAAAAGUUUGUGAUAUUUCAAUUUUUCAAGAGAGAACUUGUUUUCAUCGUUGUGAUAAUUAGUUGUGCAAUGGAUUUUAUCGAACGGGAGUUCAUUACAAACACACAGUUUCAAUAUUAGAUGCCAUAGCAAAUCAAAGAUCAUAUAAUAGAAUAAGUCAAAAAACCCAAAUAUGGAAAAAGAAAGAGCUGAAGAAAUGGUGAUUUGAGCACCUAUGCUUUCUCAUAGGUGUUUUUGGAGGUUUCCAUAUUAGAUGCCAUAGCAAAUCAAAGAUCAUAUAAUAAAAUAAGUCAAAAAACCCAAAUAUGGGAAAAGAAAGAGCUGAAGAAAUGGUGAUUUGAGC